GAUGAACGCUAGCGGCAGGCCUAAUACAUGCAAGACGAACGGUAAGUUGAGUAGCAAUACUUAGCCAAGAGUGUCGUACGGGUGCGUAACACGUAUGCAACCUACCCUAUACAGGAGGAUAGCCUAGGGAAACCUGGAUUAACCCUUCAUAGUAUUAUUGGAUGGCAUCAUUUGAUAAUUAAAACUGAGGUGGUAUAGGAUGGGCAUGCGUCUGAUUAAGUUAGUUGGCGGGGUAAUGGCCCACCAAGACGAUGAUCAGUAGGGGUUCUGAGAGGAAGAUCCCCCACACUGGCACUGAGAUACGGGCCAGACUCCUACGGGAGCAGCAGUAGGGAAUAUUGGUCAAUGGAUGCAAGUCUGAACCAGCCAUGCCGCGUGCAGGAAGAAGGCCUUCUGGGUUGUAAACUGCUUUUGCCAGGGGAUAAAAUUUCCAUGCGUGGAAAACUGAAGGUACCUGGUGAAUAAGCCACGGCUAAACUACGUGCCAGCAGCCGCGGUAAU
rnacentral:rRNA from 1 species